rnacentral:rRNA from 1 species
GAUGAACGCUGGCGGCGUGCCUAAUACAUGCAAGUCGAGCGAACAGACGAGGAGCUUGCUCCUCUGACGUUAGCGGCGGACGGGUGAGUAACACGUGGAUAACCUACCUAUAAGACUGGGAUAACUUCGGGAAACCGGAGCUAAUACCGGAUAAUAUAUUGAACCGCAUGGUUCAAUAGUGAAAGACGGUUUUGCUGUCACUUAUAGAUGGAUCCGCGCCGCAUUAGCUAGUUGGUAAGGUAACGGCUUACCAAGGCAACGAUGCGUAGCCGACCUGAGAGGGUGAUCGGCCACACUGGAACUGAGACACGGUCCAGACUCCUACGGGAGGCAGCAGUAGGGAAUCUGCCGCAAGGGGCGAAAGCCUGACGGAGCAACGCCGCGUGAGUGAUGAAGGUCUUCGGAUCGUAAAACUCUGUUAUUAGGGAAGAACAAAUGUGUAAGUAACUAUGCACGUCUUGACGGUACCUAAUCAGAAAGCCACGGCUAACUACGU